rnacentral:rRNA from 1 species
AACGAACGCUGGCGGCAUGCCUAACACAUGCAAGUCGAACGAGACCUUCGGGUCUAGUGGCGCACGGGUGCGUAACGCGUGGGAAUCUGCCCUUGGGUCCGGAAUAACUCAGAGAAAUUUGAGCUAAUACCGGAUGAUGACGUAAGUCCAAAGAUUUAUCGCCCAGGGAUGAGCCCGCGUAGGAUUAGCUAGUUGGUGAGGUAAAGGCUCACCAAGGCGACGAUCCUUAGCUGGUCUGAGAGGAUGAUCAGCCACACUGGGACUGAGACACGGCCCAGACUCCUACGGGAGGCAGCAGUGGGGAAGUAUUGGACAAUGGGCGAAAGCCUGAUCCAGCAAUGCCGCGUGAGUGAUGAAGGCCUUAGGGUUGUAAAGCUCUUUUACCCGGGAUGAUAAUGACAGUACCGGGAGAAUAAGCCCCGGCUAACUCCGUGCCAGCCGCCGCGGUAAU